AACGAACGCUGGCGGCAGGCCUAACACAUGCAAGUCGAGCGAGGACUUCGGUUCUAGCGGCGGACGGGUGAGUAACGCGUGGGAAUAUGCCCUUCUCUACGGAAUAGCCUCGGGAAACUGAGCGUAAUACCGUAUACGCCCUUUGGGGGGAAGAUAUAUCGGAGAAGGAUUAGCCCGCGUUGGAUUAGGUAGUUGGGGGGGUAAUGGCCUACCAAGCCUACGAUCCAUAGCUGGUUUGAGAGGAUGAUCUGCCACACUGGGACUGAGACACGGCCCAGACUCCUACAGGAGGCAGCAGUGGGGAAUCGUAGACAAUGGGGGGAAACCCUGAUCUAGCCAUGCCGCGUGAGUGACGAAGGCCUUAGGGUCGUAAAGCUCUUUCGCUGGGGAAGAUAAUGACGGUACCCAGUAAAGAAACCCCGGCUAACUCCGUGCCAGCCGCCGCCGUAAGAC
rnacentral:rRNA from 1 species